rnacentral:tRNA from 1 species
GGAAAAGUUGCUAAAGGUAGGGCCAGAUAUUUGCUAAAUAUUGUGUAUAUUCACACUUAGAUGUUCAAAUCAUCUCUUUUCCG